UAGGAGGAGAAGCGAAUCAAACUUUAAACACUAAAAACGCAUAGGGAAAAAUAAACACUAAGAAUAAAGAAUAAAGCGAAACAGGAUCUGAAUAAUUGUGAAUGCCUACUGCAUUCACACUAAUAAUUGUGAAUGCCUACUGCAUUCACACUAAUAAAGGGUUCCCUUUCUACCAAGUUAGGUUUACAUGAAAAGUCAGACUUAGGGAAAUGUAGAUUUGUGUGAUAUACAAGGAAAUUGAAAGUGCUAGGUUUGUUCAUUAGUACUCCAAUGAAAUAUUUUCCUUACAUAAUUGUGGUGAAACAGUUUCUAAUUAAUGCUUUUACUUAAAAUGUCAAAAACGUCUGGUGGAAAAUAUGCAAUUUUAUAGUCUGUUACUGGAGGUUAUUCACCACAAACCUACUGAAUGCUUUAUCUCGGCAAGAUAUCUUGAAUAUAUGGCCGAAUUAAAUUGCGGUAACUGGAAAUUCCCUCUUCAGUUUCCGGGUAAAUAGAGCUCUGCUAGUGCGACAACUCACAAAGCAGAUUAAAAUAAUCUUGAUGUUUUGAGAUUUAGUUUCUCCCUUUAAAACAUCUUAAGACUGUUUUGUGACAAAUUAAGGGUACAUUUUUUUAAUUAAUUUGUAAACUUGCCUUCUUAGAAGGCCGACAUCCUCUAGCAGGCCCUGUGCUCACUAUCUGGCACCAUGGAGCUCGAAUGGCAUUUGCCAGAUUAAUUUAUGUAUGUUUAGCUUUCUGUGUGUAAGACUUUGACACAAAUUUCACAAAAAGGGUUAAUUGGUUAGCAAACAGAGAAUUGUUUUCUGAAAUAUCCUUUACGCUUACCUUUAAAAUCACCCUCGCUAUGUAAAUAUGGUUAUAAAUUCAAUUGAGAAACUCCAGCCGGUAAGAUAAUCUUCCUCGUAUAGAUUUUAGGAAUAACAAAUCUACUGUUGUUUUGUGUAUAUUGUAUACCAAUAUAUCAAUCUACAUCCAUUCUAAUUGGUUUUGUCACAGCAUCAAUCCUAUAGUACAACCAGCCUAGUACUGGGCCUCUGAAUAUAGCUGUGCUGAGAUAAGCUCAUGUACAGAAUGAAACUUGUUUGAUGAUCCAAAACAUAAUAAACUGGCAAAAAUUAUCUCAAAAGAGACUUCUGUUCUAACCCUCAUAACCUUUGUAGUGAAAUCAGUCUUGUAUUUUUCUUGUCUUUUGCCAUCCAGAGAGUGCUAUAGUCUUGGACCUUCUAAUGUCUCUCCCAGAAGAACUUCCUUAUCUGGACUGCAAAAACUUGUACACACAUCUGACCCAGGUUUAUCGGUGUAUCUUAGCUCCUGUUGACUCCAGGCCUGCAAAGCAGCUAUUGUCAAAGCUGAAGAAUACACACCAAGCUCAAAGAGAGCCACCUGCAUCUCAAGAGCCCAAGCUAACAUGCAACCAGGAGGCUGGGUCUGCUGGUACUUCUAACAGCUCUCUGGACACUGGCAGAGGAAACACCUCCCUUGACCAGUCUGAGGAUUCAAACUUGUUGGAUUUCAGCCCAUCACUUAAUCCUUUGCUUGUUCCACUGAGUUUGUUGAUGAGAAGGCUACACUCAGAAUAAAAUAUUGUGAACUGCUUUAUUAAUUUGUGUGUGAACAUUGUUGAAGCAUAAAUUUAUAAGUUAGCCAGUUUUUGUGCUACAUGUUUUACAUUUGUUAUUCAACAAAACUAAUCUAAAAUGGGAUUUUCAAUAAAUACUGUCUCAGAUUCAU